UAAAGCUAGCCACAAAAGAUCAGAAAGAAGAAUCAAAGAAGACACUGACAGGUCUAUCUCCUAGUAUGAUUCCACACUUCAACAGACAUGAAAUUACUAGGCAAUUUCAGAUUCAAGCCCCAACAUUCUUCUUUCUGAUAUUUUGUGGCUAGCUUUA
rnacentral:pre_miRNA from 1 species